CAGUAUUUAAGGACUUCUCCACCACCACAUCAUGGCAAAGUAUAUGCUCUGUGUCUUUGUUAGCUGUUGAUACCAAGCCAUUAUAUUUAGCUAUUUAGCUGAUGUUUGGGUUUUGAUUUCUGUUUUUUGACUCUUGCCUUGCCUAGCCUAGUUUAUGUUGUUUGCUCAUUGCCUGACCAAUAUCUGUUUCUUGUUCCUGAUUUUGCUCUACAUAUUGGAUUUGUUGCGAGAUUUCUGCAAGCUGUCACUUGACAGGACUGAUGAGUGGACUUUUUUUGUAGGGUAUGUGAGAGUCCUUCUGUUCAUGGUAUCACACAGGAGAAACUUUCUUGUUGCUAUGACUCAAUUUGCCAGGCCAUGCCAGACACAAACAGGAACAAAAGCUUAAGGAGAACUAUCAGGCAUGGGGAAAGCACAGGAUUACCUCUGUUCCACCUUCAUUAUUGGCAAACUGGCCUCAGCUAGCCUGGAUUUAGAAAGCUUCUUUUAAACAGGAACAGUAUUAUAUCCCAGGGAAACAGUACAUGGUCUAAAGCAAAAAAAAAGCUUUUUUAAUUGUUCCAAAAGAUAUUCCCUCAGCCAGUGUUUUGAUGGUGGUGGAGAGCGCUGUCUCACAUGCGCUCACAUGUGACUUUAGAAAGUCACUUUUUAAUGGGAACUGUUCUUGAUUUUGUCUGAAGGGGUGACUGAGAUCUCAUUAUGACUUUACUGUGUCAGCAUUUUGCAGCAUUAGUUACACCAGGUAAGAUAAAUUGCAGAAGUGAAACACUAUAGGAUUGAUUGUGGAGCUUUACAGUACAGUAUACAUGGGGCUGUGAUAACUGCUUGUUUUCUAUAAUGGUUUAACUUAAGUAGGUACCUUUUUUGAAGUACCUUCAACAAAAUUUGAUGUAAUUGAUGAAUGGAAAAAUAAUUGAAAGAUCUGAAUUUUAAAAUUUUGUCUUUAGAAAUAAUUAAAUGAUGUAAUAAAGUAGUUAUUUGAGUCUCAUUUCCCAUUUCUAUAGGCAGACUGAAUUUAUGUGGUAACCAUGAAGAUUUUGUGGCAUCUUCAUAGCAUGUAUGAAAUGUUGUUCUCCACAUGAACAGUAAUAGCCAAAGAAAUGUCAGCCCUAUUUACUUAGUGUAAGGUAACAGGGUCAUUUGCCAGAAUAUUCAAAUCAAAUUUAGAAAGUAUGUAAAACUAAAUUUUAUAGAUGCAGUGAAUCAUCAGUUUAUUAGGUACACCUCUCUAGUAGUAUGUUCAGAAGUAGUGGACUACAAGGCAAAACAGUGUUUUAAGAUUUACUUUGGAGUGCAGAUUCAAAAGGAUAAAGGUUGGAAAGGCAAAACUAAUAAAAGAAAUGCUUUCAAAUUUA